rnacentral:misc_RNA from 1 species
GUGGCCGGGUUGUUUGGCAUGAGUCUGAGCAUGGAGAUCUUUAUUGUUGUGUUAUUCCUUCUGUUUUCUCCGUCAGCAGCAUCAACGAAGAGAGGAUACGGCGUCAACAACCACGUCCUCCUCUGUAACGACUCAUACACAUUAACAGAGUCAUCAUGGUGGUACAACUGGCGGACAAACUACAUCGACUUCAUCCACGACGGCUGCAGCCCGAGGGGAGAGUUUGUUCCUAUGGUUUGGAGUUUCCAGAUAAACUACACACAGCAUGUUUCCCAAUCGUCUCACUACAUCCUUGGUUAUAACGAACCAAAUGAACGCGACCAAUCAAAUAUUACUCCUCAAACUGCUGCUUCUCAUUGGCCAGAAAUCGAAAGACUCGCACAAGGCAAGCUGCUCGUAAGCCCCGCCCCUGCUCGUUGUAAUGGCUGGCAUCUCUGCUUCAAGGAGCCCACUGAUUGGCUGGACGAGUUUUUCCAGGCUUGCAGUGGCUGCCGGGUUGACUUCUUGGCUGCGCACACAUACAACUGUGACCCGGAUAAUGACAUGCGCUAUCUGGAGUCUCUGUACAACCGGUACGGUAAACAAAUAUGGCUGACGGAAUUCUCAUGUCCCAAGACAAUGUCUGUACAAAAAGAACUGGACUAUAUGAAACAGAUCGUACCUCGACUCGAAGCGGCACCCUUUAUAUACCGGUAUGCGUGGUACAUCACACGGCAGCCGGACACUGACUAUCUCACAUCUGCAGUCAACCUGCUUAAACCAAACGUAUCCGAGCUGACGUAUCUUGGACAUGUGUACAACUCUCUGCCUGCUGUAUAGAGAUGAUAUCCCGUUAAUGCCUUGAUUUGAUACGGAGAUUAAAUUCCUGUAAUUCCUAGAUUUAGUCCAGGAGUUAUGACCCUAUAAUGCCUAGAAUUAGUUCAGAGGUUAUGAUAUUAUAAUGCCUAGAUUUAGUUCUGAGGUUAUGAUCCUAAAAUGCCUAGAUUUAGCUCAAGGGUUAUAAUCUUAUAAUGCCUUGAUUUAGUUCAGAUGCUUUGAUCUUAUAAUGCCUUGAUUUAGUUCAGAUGCUUUGAUCUUAUAAUGCAUAUGCCUUGAUUUAGUUCAGAUGUUAUGAUCUUAUAAUGCCUUGAUUUAGUUCAGUUUUAAUGAUCUUAUAAUGCCUUGAUUUAGUUCAGAUGUUAUGAUCUUAUAAUGCCUUGAUUUAGCCUUUGUCUUAUAAUGCCUUGAUUUAGUUCACAUGUUAUGAUCUGAACAUGCCUUGAUUUUGUUAAGAGAUUAUGACCCUAUCAUGGCUUGAUUUAGUGCAGAGUUUAAGAGCCUAUAAUGCCUAGGUUUAGUUCGGAGGUAAUUACCCUAUAAUGCCUACAUUUGGUAUCUAGAGAAUUUAUGGCCCUAUAAUCUACAACAUAUAGAUUUGUUCAGGUGAUGCAUUUAACGUUAUUGGUUAAAUAUGGCUGGCAAUAAACGGAUAAUAAAACAUA